rnacentral:misc_RNA from 1 species
GAUGAAGAACGCAGCGAAAUGCGAUAAGUAAUGUGAAUUGCAGAAUUCAGUGAAUCAUCGAAUCUUUGAACGCAUCUUGCGCUCCUUGGUAUUCUGAGGAGCAUGCCUGUUUGAGUGUCAUUAAAUUCUCAACUACACUUACUUUGAAUUGGUGUGGCUUGGAUUUGGGGGGAAAAUUGUUGUGGGCUUUUUGUAUAGUCUGCUCCCCUGAAAUUGAUUAGCGGUACCUUUGUGGAACUGUCUACAGGUGUGAUAAUUAUCUACAUCUUAGACAUCUGCUGGAAUGCUGCUCUCUAAACCUUACUUGUAUUGACAAUCUUGACCUCAAAUCAGGUAGGACUACCCGCUGAACUUAAGCAUAUCAAUAAGCGGAGGA